rnacentral:rRNA from 1 species
AGCUGGCGGCGUACUUAACACAUGCAAGUCGAACGGGGAUCAUCGUGUGAGCAAUCAUAUGGUGGUCCUAGUGGCGCACGGGUGAGUAACACGUGGGUAACCUACCCUCGAGACCGGGAUACCCCUUCGAAAGGGGGGCUAAUACCGGAUACGUUCCCUGGGUCGAGAGAUUUGGGGAGGAAAGGUGGCGCAAGCUACCGCUCUUGGAGGGGCUCGCGGCCUAUCAGCUAGUUGGCGGGGUAACGGCCCACCAAGGCGAUGACGGGUAGCUGGUCUGAGAGGACGACCAGCCACACGGGGACUGAGACACGGCCCCGACUCCUACGGGAGGCAGCAGUGGGGAAUUUUCCGCAAUGGGCGAAAGCCUGACGGAGUGACGCCGCGUGUGGGAUGAAGGCCUUCGGGUCGUAAACCACUGUCAGUGGGAAAGAAGGGUG